UACAGAGGUCUCAAGCGUUGUUCGGAUUCAUUGGGCGUAAAGGGCGCGUAGGCUGCGGGGCAAGUCGGGUGUGAAAUCUCAGAGCUCAACUCUGAAACUGCACUCGAUACUGCUUUGCUCGAGGACUGGAGAGGAGAUUGGAAUUCACGGUGUAGCAGUGAAAUGCGUAGAUAUCGUGAGGAAGACCAGUGGCGAAGGCGGAUCUCUGGACAGUUCCUGACGCUGAGGCGCGAAGGCCAGGGGGAGCAAACGGG
rnacentral:rRNA from 1 species